UUUGACAUCAGAUUGUCACUUAAGGCAGUGUGAUCAUGCAGCAGGUUUUAUUUUUCCUUUUUUGGAGGUCGAUGCUGAUUCCAAAACAACUUGAUCACAACUACAAUCUUUGAUAAGCAUAGGCACCAUAUGACUACCCAUCCUUUAUUGCCUUCCAAAAUUGGCAAAGGAGCAGGAAAUUGAUCUCGCUUGUUUUAGUUUAAUGUUUAAUAUUUUAUUUUUGGUAUGCUUAUCUCAUGUCAUAAUCAUAAAAUAUGUUCUAGGUUUCUGUGAGACCUCUUGUCAUUGAAAAAAAAAAUGCAAGACCGACAAAUGAAUAAGUAGAACUGCUUAUUGGUGUAGCCAGUAGUAGAACUCUUCUAUCACACACUUUUUGGUUCAUAUUUAUGCAUAUUUAUUUAUGUCACCUUACACAGUUUGGUCUUAUAAUUUGUUUGUUCGUUGUUUCUUUGGAAUGAGAUAAUGAUUUUUUUUUCUCUCAUGUUCUGCUGUACGGCCAAGUAGAUUUUGGCUUUUCCUACCCCAAAAUCAGUUGAAAACAACUAUUAUUUAUUUUUUACACCUCUUUAAAAUCCUUAUAUAACCCCAUUUUUGUGAAAAUGGUUAUUUUGCUGUUGGAAUCAGAAAAUUAUGAAUUUUUAAAAUCUUUACAUUUGUAAUUUAUGAACCCUCCCAUCUUUAAAUCUUAAUUUAUGAUAUAAUUAUUUUUUAUAAAUUUAAAAAAAUUUCAGAUAAUGAAGAAAUGAAUUACUUAAUGAUAAUAUUUUUAUUUUUAAAAAAUUACAUUUAAAAUUUGAUUAGUAUAAUGUUUUACCAUGUUUUGCAAUUUUCAUAAUUGUAACGCCUAUAAAUAAAAUAACGGGAUUUUGUGAGAGUUUUAAAGGGGUGUUCGGAGUAAGGAUUACAAAUUUCCUUGGAGGUCCCCAAACCUGUGGGUAUCCGGUUCAUUUGACUCGGAUAUAGGCCUCCAAAAUGGUUUAAAAAAAUUUCAGGUCUGAUUUUGGAACAGACUCGAACCCUAUUUUUAUUUCGGGUAGGGUUCAGGGAUUUCAUUAGGCCCUCGAACCCGACCCAUUUUGAAAAUGAACAAACAUUUGAUUAUUUGAACUGCCUUUAGUUUAAAAUUGACUAAAACAAAAUUCGCCGAGUUCCUCUUUUGUGUCAUCUCAACACUCUCGUCAGCUCUCCAUAAGAAAUUGACUACCGCCGACUGCACAGACAAGUUACUGUUUGCUUUGAUCUUGUUCUUUCUUUUGCUGAUAGUUGAAACUUUGUUGGAUCAGUUCGUAAAUGAAUUUUCUUAGAAAUUGUGGAGGAUUUGAAUAAUUUAACGAAUUUUUUUUUCAAAUUUCUUACUUUAUAUUUCCUCUUUCAUGUGAUUUGAUGUUUAACUUGAUUUGUGAAACUGCUGCUUGAAAGUUGAAUACACAUACACAUUGAAUGAAACAUUUAAACUGGUGCAGAUUUAGAAAACGAGAAGAAAUUUAAAUCAGAAAAUUUUUCUCUCCUUAUCUUGUUCACAAGUUUUCUUAUAUUCACAAAUAAUUGUGAUGUUUAUUUUGUUCAGUAGCUUGGAAUUAUCUAUUUUUUUAUUGAAAAAAACUAGGGAAUGCGCACCAUUAUACUUCGCCACCGCAUUUGGAAAUUUUCAGAGAUAUCUUUUAUUUAGCCCCGCGCUUUAAAAUUCGGGUAUGGGGCAGAUUUUCGGAUCACGGGGAUCCGAUGAAGUUUGUAGGUGCCCCAAAAACUGAACAGCAGAAGAGGAAGCACCAUGACCAAGAAUCAAAAGAGGAGAAGAGAGAACGGAAGGUAUUUAUGUGUUAUUCCGGAUUUCACUGUAUAUUUUUGUGCAUUUGCCACAUAGUAGUAUGCGUUAUUGUUUGUGGACAGUCUUCUUGCUUUUUUCAAGAUGCUUGCAAAAUUUAAAAUCUUGUCUUAGGUUGAUGUUGUUUAUCUAUGUACGCUUAAAUGUGAUUUGAUAAGGACAUGUACCGCACGCAGACUGCAGUGAACGAGAGAUGACGUGGAGCUCAGUGAGCUAAAAAAGAAAUAAAUGAGCUGUAUAGGUGUGAAGCGCAGCGUGCUCAAAAUGUUAUCGCUAUCUCUUGGUCGUCUUCCAUUCAUCUGAUGUAAGUAUUUUGAUCAUCAAAUGUUCUUUCAAUGCAUCAUGAAUAAGAAAUUUGGAUGAAUAUUCUUUUGGAUUAUUUAAUAUCAAAGGAGAUUGUGUUUGUGAAGCUUGAUUGAAUAAUGCUCUAAUAAUCAAUUGAUUAGAAAAUUGAUUGCUCAUUUGUUUUAAAAUAGGUGAAAUUUGACAUCAGAUUGUCACUUAAGGCAGUGUGAUCAUGCAGCAGGUUUUAUUUUUCCUUUUUUGGAGGUCGAUGCUGAUUCCAAAACAACUUGAUCACAACUACAAUCUUUGAUAAGCAUAGGCACCAUAUGACUACCCAUCCUUUAUUGCCUUCCAAAAUUGGCAAAGGAGCAGGAAAUUGAUCUCGCUUGUUUUAGUUUAAUGUUUAAUAUUUUAUUUUUGGUAUGCUUAUCUCAUGUCAUAAUCAUAAAAUAUGUUCUAGGUUUCUGUGAGACCUCUUGUCAUUGAAAAAAAAAAUGCAAGACCGACAAAUGAAUAAGUAGAACUGCUUAUUGGUGUAGCCAGUAGUAGAACUCUUCUAUCACACACUUUUUGGUUCAUAUUUAUGCAUAUUUAUUUAUGUCACCUUACACAGUUUGGUCUUAUAAUUUGUUUGUUCGUUGUUUCUUUGGAAUGAGA
rnacentral:lncRNA from 1 species